rfam:Dipodomys ordii contig_52591, whole genome shotgun sequence.
UGGCUCAGUGGUAGAGCGCUUGUCUUGCAUGCAUGAGGCCCUGGGUUCGAUUCCUCAG